AUUGGGUCUUGAGCGAGGUCACCCGUUGGCACAACUCUAGUGUGACCACACAGAGAUCUCUGGUAUGUUGCCGCUGUCUGGAGGACCCCAUGGCCCUGCAGUUUGGGAAGGAGGGGCUUGUUCUCACUGGUAGAGGUCAUCCCAGAUGGCUGUGUGCUGUCACUGCGGAUGCUCUAAAGAAGUUACAGGGCACCCCAGGUUCUGGGGACACCAAGGAUACAUGAAGAGUCUUCCAAAUUAGGCUAAACUUCUCAUAAAUAGCUGUAGGGAAGGUUUUGAAAGAGAAAUAAGGAUGCCUGUCUAGUCUCUGAGCUAAGGCCAUACAAAAACAUCCAGCCACCCCCACCCACUGUUCCCCAUCAGCCCCAUCUAUCUGUGCAGAGCAAGGCUGCAGAAGAC
rnacentral:lncRNA from 1 species